CUGACACAGGGCUUGACCCCAUGAACCGCGAGAUCCUGACCUGAGACGAAAUCAAGAGUCGGACACCGAGGACUGAGCUACCCAGGUGUCCCUCAUUAACCACCUUUUGCUGAGGUUUGGGCCUGAGGAGACUCCAGAAGAUUGUUGCUCUUUCUAAGGAGACAUUCUUGUUUGUCGCAAGUCCAAUCUGGCUCUGAUCUUUGUUCUGACGCUUUAAUGGUGGGGCCUCACUGAGCUUGUCCUCUCUUGGAAAUGAACACAACCCCUACUUGUCACAGCUGGGAGUUCUGGUGAGGCAAGAAGUGAUCGGGCUCCGUGAAGUAAGGCUUUAUUUAGACACGUGGCUUCAGCUCCAUUCCAAUGACUUAGCAUCCCCGAGAUGUUGUAGUAAAGGGUUUUGUGCAUUAAGAUCUGAGGUCAUGGCAUGUUUAAGUUCAUGCUGCC